GCCGUAGGGGGCAAGCGUUGUUCGGAAUUAUUGGGCGUAAAGCGCUCGUAGGCGGGACAGGAAGUUCGUGUUGAAAGACCUCGGCUCAACUGAGGGACCGGCUCGAAUACUCUUGUUCUUGAGGCAAUCAGAGGGUGAUGGAAUUCCCGGUGUAGCGAUGAAAUGCGUAGAUAUCGGGAGGAACACCAGUGGCGAAGGCGAUCACCUGGGGUUGUUCUGACGCUGAGGAGCGAAAGCUAGGGGAGCAAACGGG
rnacentral:rRNA from 1 species